rnacentral:lncRNA from 1 species
UGUUUAAAAUGAUCGUUUGGAAUCCAAAGUGUUUUUGGUCAUUAACAGGAAGCAUCUUUUCUACAUUACGGUUUCAUGUGACCAAAUUAUGGCCAUAGUAUUUCAGAUUUAUUCAUCCACUAAGUAUUUAUUAAGUACCUAUUCUGUGCUAGGUAUCAGGUGCUGGGGCUAUAGCAGUAAGGAAAGUAAGUGGACAAAAGGAUUCCACACCUGUCACAGGCGCUGCCCCACUCCCUGAGUCAGGUGAGAUGAGCUCCGGAAGGCAGGUGGGUAAUGGAUGAUGCUCACCUAGUGUUCCUUGGGCCAUGAAGAUCAAAUAUUUCAGCCCCAUAGGAUGUGUAAGCUUGAUUUCUGGUCAUCUCUCCUUAAGGAAUCAUGGACCAUUCAUUAUUUUGUUUAAAAGGACACAUAAGAACGUACAUGUCUCAAUAGAGUUACUGGUCACAGGACUGAACUGUGGUCAUGAAAGCCAAGCAACUUACUUUCUGGCCUCCAUAUUGCUUUGUAGGAGAAAUGAUACUGACAAUGAUGUCACACGAGGAGGGAAGCCAGGCACGAAUCUGGUGGAGGUGCGGUCAGUUGUGACCAGCUUUGCAAAGGGAGCGGUGGGCGAGGCUGUGGUCUCUCCCAGGUGACCUCCAUCGCCAUGCAGAGCUGCUCUCACUUCUCCUCGGGAAAGGCCAGCGUCAGGUAUUCCUAGGAGGAAGCCCAGGUGUGUCCAGAGAACAGUAGUCUUGUUAGAACUGGAAAAAUGUCUUAUGGCCAGGUGGCCCCUGGUCUGAAGGAAAAAUAGGAGCUGAGUGUGAACUUUUAUCACUCAGAAGAUAUAAUCCACCUCUCCCCUCCUGCCCUUCGCUCCUGGGUUGGUUGUGAGGACAGUGCUUUGUGACAGCAGUGGAGCCCUGUCUGUCCUUCCGGGCUAGAUUUCUUCUUUCUCUUAUUCCUCCUGUUUCGUUGUAUCCACGAUUUGUCGAGUUGCAGGGCUCACCCUUUCCUGAAGAAACCAUCUCUUUUCCCAGCUCCGCACCUUUGUCCGAGAUGGAGGCGUGUCCUCCCGCCCAUCCCCAGUGGGGGGUGUUCUGCCCAUUCUCCAGAGCCCAGCACUGCUCCAUCUCUUUUCCUCCCUCUCCUUCCCCUUGCUGUUACCUGCUGCCUUCUUGUGCUCCCACUGCCCUUGGCCAUCCCUCUGUGUCAUUGUGCGCUGUGGUGCACCUGUCUUCUCUACUACACCUUAAGAGCAGGACUCUGCCUCCUUCCUACCAGCACCUCAUGCAGCAAGUGCUGCCAAUAGCAGGCACCCAGCAGAUAGCGAAUGCACGACUCCAAAACCCAGCUUUGCCUCCUGGCUGUAGUUCAGACUAGCUGUGUGACACUGACCAAGACACUUGACCUCUCUCAGACUCAGCUUCCUCCUUGAAGACUGGGAUGCUAUGUAGCUCAGAGGAAACAUACACCUGAAGGUGCUGCCCCGGGGGGUGCAAUGACCUGUUACUGAGGCUGGAUGGAGGAUGGCAUCCAUCAUCAGCUACAGGUGCCUCCUCUAUCUACAGGUUCCUGCUCCAUCUAUACUAGCCACCUCCUGGACAAGGGCUCCAGUGUCCUCCAUGACACCAGCUUUCUCCAGAGCCUGUGCAGGAUUUCCUUCCUCUACCCUGAAUCAGGGUGAUUCUUAAAGGACAGUUUCAGGAACAUAUAGGGGCACUUGGGUAAUCUUGGUCAGUAACUGACCUUUAACUAUCAUCCAUGUGAACAUCUACAGUUAGGGAUUUUCUUGGUGAUGUUUGGCAAAAAGUAAAGAAUUCCCCAAGUGUGAAGCCUCAUUCAUUCACUUAUUCAACAAAUAGUUAUUGAGCACCUACUAUGUGUUAGGCCCUGGGCCAGGUGCUGGGAAUACAGCAGAGACAGACCUGGCUCCUGCCCUCAUGGAGUUUGCAGUCAUUCAUUCACUCACUCGGUGACUUUGGACACCUCCCCCUCCUCUCUCCAGGCUUUAGAUCUCUGAGAUUCUCUCUGAGUCUGGGAUGUAAAGACAAAGUAAAACCUGAAAUCUGGAAAGCAGAACUAUAAGAGCUUUGUUUCUGAUGGGGGUGUUGCUGCAGACAGAACUAUGUCCAUCUCAAAUUCUGACACUGGACACAGGCGUGGGGGUUUCAAGCAGGCCAAGGGUGGGAAACCACCUGACUGCAUUUUUCUUUAUCACUCACACCUCUAACAGUAAGACCAAGUGGGCCUGGCGGAGGCAUUUGAGGGCUUUUGUGUGUGCAGGCUCUGGCCCGUCCUCCUGCCUUGCCUCCACCGCAUCCCUCAUGCACACCUGCUGCAGCCUCAUCAGACCACUCCCUGUCUUUUGGACAAAGCCUGUGUGCUCCAGUCCCAUCCCUCUUCUUGGGCAGUUUCUUCAGGCUGGAGUGCCUUUCUUUUCUACUCAUCCUUCAAGGCUCAGUUCACACACCACUGUCUCGUGCAGCCUUCUCUCAGAUGGCUUCAUAAAACUGACCACCCGGACAACAAGAUGGUCACACAGCUAUUAGUGGAGGUUAAGUUCAUUCUGCCUUCAUUAUAGUUCAUUUUUCUUGUAUAUCUCUCUCUGACUAGACUAUGAGCUAUUGCAGUGAAAGGGCUGUGUCCUUCAUCACUGUCACCCUCCAGUGACCCGCAGCCAGGAGGUGUCAGUGAUUGCCAUUUGAGUUGAACUAUUUAUUGACAUCCAGUGUUGUUCUGCCAAAAAUCCUGAUCCUAGGCAUGGUGGUUUGCACCUGUGGUCACAGCUACUCAGAAGGCUGAGGUGGGAGGAGUACUUGAGCCCAGGAGUUCGAGGUUACAGUGAACUAUGAUUGUGCCACUGCACUCCAGCCUGGGCAACAGAGUGAGGCCCUUUCUCUAAAAAAGCAAACGAAGAACGCUGAACCCAAGGUCUUGCCUCAAAAUCAAUUCCCCCUUCCCCCUCCAACACAUACACCGCAACAGAAUGAUACAGCUAUUGUGAUUGCUAGGAGAAGGGCUUUGGGCAGUGCCAGUCUCCUGUUUGCAGUAACACCUGCUCUUUCUGAAGAGCUACAUCAGUAACAUGGUGGGUUUUCCUCACAACUUAAAAGUCUGAUCGUAACACAUUCAUGGAAACUAGAACCAGCACACGAAACCAUUGGCUUGUGGCCCUAAAGAAAUAACUCUGUGUCCAGAAAAUGCCAUGUUACCAGGUUGCCUACAGCUUUGCCUGUAACAUGGGCACAGGCUGGGACAUCAGAUAGAAGCUGGUUCCCAUGGUGGCUGGGUUGGGAUGGGCUAAGUUAUGUUGCAGUAACGUACAACCUCAUCAUUUUAGUGGCUAGCAUGACGAAGUUUUAUUUCUCAUGCUACAUGUCUACUGUGGCUUUCCCGGUGGCUCAGGGUUCUCAGAGCCCCUGGCAGAUGGAGGCUCCACCCUGUGGGACGUCACCAGUUGUUAUGGCUGGGGAAGGACACACUGGAGGCUCUUGCUGCUCUGAGCCACAGGAGACAUUUGUCAUAUCUGCACACAGCCCACUGGCCCUGCGGCAUCCUACCACCUGCCCAGAAGGAGGAGAACCAGAAUUACUGCUGAGCAGCUCCUCUGCAUGUGGGUGCAAUGGCGUCUUAUGACUCUCAGAAAGCUACUCUAGUGGCCAUCUACCAGUGUCACGCAGUGUCACGCUCGGUCAUGGCCUGGAAGAUCAGAGUCACAGAGGGAUAGGACCUGGAGUGUCUCUGAAAAUAGCUGCCUGGUUUCACUCCCCGGUUUUACGCCUCUUGAGAAGCAGAGUGAUGCCUAGAAUGAGCCCUGGACUGGGAGGGCACGUCCCAGGUUUGAAUCGGGGCCUUUGUUCCUUUUCUGCUGUAUGACUUUGGUCAGAUUUCUCCUUCUGAGAAGUGGAGCCAAUUAAGCGAUCUCCGAUAUGCUGUAAUCUCUGAAACAUUUCCUCAUAUGUUUCUAGCAACUUCCAACCUGAGGUCUGAUAGACCCAGGGUUACUUUGCAAGCUAACUGACAUAUCAGUCUCAUUGUCUGGUAAAUCUAAUUUUAACCACUUAAUACUUAUUUUAGGCUUCACAAAUUAUUUUAAAAGAAAAGAUAGGGGCAUAACAAGAAGAAAGCUUCGGUUACAAUUUCCCCGAAAUGCCUGGAUCUGGGAUUCCUGCUUCCUGGCUGUGUGGCAGAGAAGAUGAGGAUGGCCCUGGAGUCAGACGGGACUAGGGUCCAAGCCCCAGCUCUUCCACUUGUUAACAAUGUUCUCAGCCUCAGCUUCCUUACCUAUACCAUGGAGACGGCAGUAUUUCCUUGUGGGCUUGUUUUAAGGAUCCAGUGACAGGAAGCAUGCGAAGCUCUUAGAACAGAGCCUGGCACUGGUAAAUAGUCAGUGAGCAGUAGAUGAUAUUAUUACCAUCCUGUCCCUAUCCCUGUCCCCCAGCAAAUAUUUUGGCUUUUAAAUGUUUUAAAUGAUUUCUUGAGAAUAAGCAAUGGGUCAGAUGAAAUCUCCUUACCUCUCACCUACUGGCCAUGGCCUAAAUGUCUGUAGGGAGCUGGAGCCAGGUGAGGGGAGCUGUGGUUUGGGAAGUGCCGAGUUCAUUAUGAGCAAGUGCACGGUGCUGGGAUGGGCUAGGUUCCCCGCACCUCGCCCUGCCACUGCCUCCCAGGACCUGCCUCUUGCUCCCCUGCCACAUAGACAGUCUGCUUGCCCCCUGCUUUCAGGGACCUCAUGGUCCCUGCCCAAUUUAAAGUUCAAACUCUGCAACUGCACAAAGUUGCAGGCUUGGCAGCUGUGGGACCUGGGCUUCAGAGACUCCAGGUUCCUCGGCCUGCCCCAGGAGGGCCCUGCUGAGGUGAAGUGGGCAUAGGAGAGAGAGUGGACAGAGAAUCUGAAUACUGGGUCACGUUGCAGUUCUGCGCCUUGGAUGCCAUAGGCUCCAGGCCCAUAAGCCCGGCUUCACUAGGCCUGGGUGUCUGGGUUGUGAAAUGGGGUGUCUCCUUCCAGGAUUGCCGUAAGGACCUGGAUUCAUCAAAGCUUAAAGUAAAUUGCUUUGUAAGGUGGGAGACACCGAGUACAGGCGAGGGACUUUAUUAGGUCAGGGAUUUAAUCAGGCAUCUGUUUUUACAGAUUUCUUUAUUCCUGUUCCCUCCCCUCCCCUUCCUGUCCUUUCACAAUAAAGAAUAACAACUUGACACAGCUUAGAGACUAAAAAUCAUCCUUCAAUAAAGCAGCAGAAGUUGCAAAGUUUCCUAUGAUGCUAUAA